rnacentral:rRNA from 1 species
GGGGGACCUUCGGGCCUCUUGCCAUCGGAUGUGCCCAGAUGGGAUUAGCUUGUUGGUGGGGUAACGGCUCACCUAGGCGACGAUCCCUAGCUGGUCUGAGAGGAUGACCAGCCACACUGGAACUGAGACACGGUCCAGACUCCUACGGGAGGCAGCAGUGGGGAAUAUUGCACAAUGGGCGCAAGCCUGAUGCAGCCAUGCCGCGUGUAUGAAGAAGGCCUUCGGGUUGUAAAGUACUUUCAGCGGGGAGGAAGGGAGUAAAGUUAAUACCUUUGCUCAUUGACGUUACCCGCAGAAGAAGCACCGGCUAACUCCGUGCCAGCAGCCGCGGUAAUACGGAGGGUGCAAGCGUUAAUCGGAAUUACUGGGCGUAAAGCGCACCGCAGGCGGUUUUGUUAAGUCAGAUGUGAAAUCCCCUGGCUAA